GAGUGCCCGAUAGCCGACCAAGGAUCGGAAGGCGGGAGCCUCAGAGAAGUUGCAAUCUCGGAGCCUGACCCCGGGUCUACCUGGGUGCUGCACAUCGAUGGAGCUUCCAAUGCUCAGGGGAGCGGGGCCGGGUUCCUGCUCACCAACUCGGAUGGGGUGGUCACUGAGUACACCCUCCGAUUCGACUUCAGAGCCUCCAACAAUCAAGCCG
rnacentral:lncRNA from 1 species